AGCGGCGAACGGGUGAGUAACGCGUGAGCAACCUACCUUAGUUACUGGGAUAGCCCGAGGAAACUCGGAUUAAUACCGGAUAUUCUUAUUUAAUCACAUGAUUUUCUAAGGAAAGGUCAGCCGAACUAAGAUGGGCUCGCGUUCUAUCAGCUAGUUGGUAGGGUAACGGCCUACCAAGGCUACGACGGAUAGCUGGUCUGAGAGGACGAUCAGCCACACUGGGACUGAGACACGGCCCAGACUCCUACGGGAGGCUGCAGCAGGGAAUAUUGUGCAAUGAACGAAAGUUUGACACAGCGACACCGCGUGUGGGAUGACGGAUCUAGGUUUGUAAACCACUUUCAGGAGGGAAGAAAACGACGGUACCUCCACAAGAAGCCCCGGCCAACUACGUGCCAGCAGCCGCGGUAAUACGUAGGGGGCGAGCGUUGUCCGGAUUUAUUGGGCGUAAAGAGCUCGUAGGCGGUUCAACAAGUCGGUCGUGAAAGUUCAGGGCUCAACCCUGAAAUGUCGAUCGAUACUGUUGUGACUAGGAUACGGCAGAGGUGAGUGGAAUUCCGAGUGUAGCGGUGAAAUGCGUAGGUAUUCGGAGGAACACCAAUUGCGAAGGCAGCUCACUGGGCCGCUAUCGACGCUGAGGAGCGAAAGCUAGGGGAGCAAACAGGAUUAGAUACCCUGGUAGUCCUAGCUGUAAACGAUGGAUACUAGAUGUAGGAAUUGGUUUAACGAUUUCUGUAUCGUAGCUAACGCGUUAAGUAUCCCGCCUGGGGAGUAC
rnacentral:rRNA from 1 species